CUUGACGACCAUAGCAAGGUGGUCCCACUCCUUCCCAUCCCGAACAGGAUAGUGAAACGCCUUUGCGCCGAUGAUAGUGGACGGACGUCUGUGAAAGUAGGUCAUCGUCAAGC
rnacentral:rRNA from 1 species